UAUGAACAUGGUAAGAGCUGUAAAACAAAAGGAGUUACAUAUGGCGAAAGAUUUGAUAGUGUCUUAAAACUUAUUUGUUGAUGAAGCAGAGAUUCAAAGCAUUGUUGAUGUAGUUGUGUGUCUAAAUCAGAGGUCCUGUGGAGUGAAGAAGAGCAAACAAUCUGAUCAUGAGUGGAAUAAUAAUAUUGAAAGAAUAUGUAUUCUGCAAAGAUAAAAAUAUACCAAUAAUGUAUUAACAAUGUAGUUGUUAUUAAUCAAAGAACAUCAAUUUGAAGAGAAAACCUUACCCACAAUUUGAAAAGAAUAUUCACACUUGGUUGUGGACAUUAUAGCAGCCAUUUCUUUGUUUCUUCAUAACUAAUGAAGAUGAUAUUAUAACUGAACAAAAAUGGUAAAACAAUGCACUCAACAAACAAAACCUACUGGAGGGGCAUUUAGUGAUUGGCUAAGGAAGCUGUUUUAAAUGUAUUUCUACAAACUACAGUUUGAUUUCAGCUUCAAACCAAUACAGUAAACUCAAUAUGAUGCUAGGAGUGAUGCAUCAUUUGAAAUCCAGCCUUAGCCAAGACCAAAAAUGCAAAAACAAAACUGUUUUUAAGAGUUGAAAAGAAAAACAAAAAUUUUCAUUAUUUUCACUAAGCUACAACAUCUGUCAAGGAUGACAUUCAAUUCAUAUUUGUCAUGAUGGAAAACAGUUGUUCUAAUUGGAACAAUGAUAAUACCAAUUAACACUGCCACAUCAUAGAUCACAUGCAACUCCUUUUUUUUAAUAAAAAAAAGCCGCAAACUUAAUGCAGCCCUAGUCCAAAACCAAAAAUAAUCCCACUAUUCCGCUCUAUGCAAUGGAAAAAGUAUAAUUGGUUUGCAAUGAAAGACAAACAACCAAAUCAAUGACUAAGGGAAUUAAAAUACAAUCUCCAUAUUAAACAAAAAAAAAAAAAAAAACUUCAUACAGCAGACCAAAAUGAAAAACCAGACUAUCUUUAAGAGUUGCAAAGAAGGAGAUUGUCAAAGAUGACAUUCAAUCCAAAUUUAGCCAUGUUGGAAAACUAUUGUUCUCAAGGAAUGAAUAGGUUUGACGGAUAUCAGAUCUAAAAGAAUGAUCAAAAUAACAUCAAUAACAUAACUCUACUUUGAUAUGGUGAAGGUAUACAUAUGCCUCAAAACAUCAGCAGUAUGCUCUGGUAUAACUAUUCCUAAACCCCCUUUUUUCUUUGGAAAAAGGAAUAUAUCAAUGAGCUAAAAUAAGGUAAAGAUGAAACGAAUACCAAAGAAAUCAUGCAUUAAAAUCAUACUUUCAUCCUAAAAAAGACACAAACUUAACUGUCGCGUUAGCUCAGCAAAACGAAUACCUAAGAAAUCAAUCUUCACAGGAACCAAACAGAAAAUUAUUUUCGUAACCCACCACUACCACACCACACCACUGGUAAGAUUUCUCAACAUAUGCAAUUCAAAACAGAAAAAAUAGCACCACGUGCAAGGACAAAAUGUGGAAGGCAAUGCAAAACAGUCCUAUGCUAUGCCAUGGGAAAAAGAGCCAGAUGUGAGCCAUGGCAGAAGAAAUGGGUGUUAAUAAGAGAACUGAGAAAGAAGUAAAAAAAAUAAUAACCAAGAAUGUGAAGGCAUCAAUCGGUAAAUUUUAUAGACAGCACAACACCAAAUAUCACAGAUAAAUUCUAAAAAGGAGAAGAAGAAUAGUCUGGCACAUAAGGAACUGGAAGUGAUAAAUAAACAGAACUGGAUAAGAAAUAGGGAUUUAGAGCUUGUAACAAUAGAAAUUUAUAUAAACGACAGACAGAGGUUUCAAACUAAGAAACAACCCAUAC
rnacentral:lncRNA from 1 species